rnacentral:misc_RNA from 1 species
GCCCAAUAACGCUCCUUGCCCGUCUUUUACGCGGCGGGACGCGGAGCGUGGCCAUCCUUGCCCUCGGGCUCGGCGGGCCGAAGCAUGUGGCUUGCCGAUUGGGGCCGGCAGUGGCGAGUGGUGGAUUGCUCACGCGAGCCGUACGUCGCCCGUCGCGCCCCCGAGCGGGAGCCUCGUGUCACCCCGGACGCACGGAUGCCGAACGGCAUCCUCGGACC